GAUAAGGGUUAGUCUUGGCUGAUCUGUCCUCAUGGCUGUGAGGGAGAUUUGUGUUUGGAAGAAGCUCAUUUUCACCCUUUUUCUCUUUGCUGUUGAUGGACUUAAAGAACCAGGUUAUUCAUGGUGAAUUUCCCUGCGGUGAUUGAGUCUGGAUCUGACUCCAAAUUAUGCAUAACUCCUCUGAAACCCCAAGAGAUUGGUUGGGGUUUUCCCUCUGCUUUUGUUUCCAGGCUCCUCGGGUAGAUGGAGAUUUGGUGCUGAAGGUUGCGGUCGCCUGGGUCUUUGUGUCUCACUGCC